rnacentral:rRNA from 1 species
AGAGUUUGAUUAUGGCUCAGGAUGAACGCUGGCGGCGUGCUUAACACAUGCAAGUCGAACGAAGCAACUAUCUUGCUUGCAAGAGAGUUGACUUAGUGGCGGACGGGUGAGUAACGCGUGGGUAACCUGCCUCAUACAGGGGGAUAACAGUUGGAAACGACUGCUAAGACCGCAUAACCCGCUAGUGUCGCAUGACACGGACGGAAAAUAUUUAUAGGUAUGAGAUGGGCCCGCGUCUGAUUAGCUAGUUGGUAAGGUAACGGCUUACCAAGGCGACGAUCAGUAGCCGACUUGAGAGAGUGAUCGGCCACAUUGGGACUGAGACACGGCCCAAACUCCUACGGGAGGCAGCAGUGGGGAAUAUUGGACAAUGGGGGAAACCCUGAUCCAGCCGACGCCGCGUGAGUGAAGAAGUAUUUCGGUAUGUAAAGCUCUAUCAGCAGGGAAGAUAAUGACAGUACCUGACUAAGAAGCCCCGGCUAACUACGUGCCAGCCGCCGC